CCAGCAGCCGCGGUAAUUCCAGCUCCAAUAGCGUAUAUUAAAGUUGUUGCGGUUAAAAAGCUCGUAGUUGGAUCUGAGUCUCUGCCCGGCGGUCUGCCCCUUCCCGGGGCAGCCUACUGCCGCGACUGCGGGACGUCUGCCGGCUUCCGCCGAUGAUCUUCACCGGUUGUCGGUGGCAGGCCGGCGAGUUUACUUUGAAAAAAUUAGAGUGCUCAAAGCAGGCGCGACGCCUGGAUAAUGGUGCAUGGAAUAAUGGAAUAGGACCUCGGUUCUAUUUUGUUGGUUUUUAGGAACGCGAGGUAAUGAUUAAGAGGAACGGACGGGGGCAUUCGUAUUGCGACGCU
rnacentral:rRNA from 1 species